rnacentral:rRNA from 1 species
GAUGAACGCUAGCGGCAGGCUUAACACAUGCAAGUCGAGGGGCAGCACGUCUUCGGAUGGUGGCGACCGGCGCACGGGUGCGUAACGCGUAUACAACCUACCUUAUAGAGGGGAAUAGCCCAGAGAAAUUUGGAUUAAUGCCCCAUAGUAUUAUUGAAUAGCAUUAUUUAAUGAUUAAACAUUUAUGGCUAUAAGAUGGGUAUGCGUUCUAUUAGCUAGAUGGUAAGGUAACGGCUUACCAUGGCGACGAUAGAUAGGGGUCCUGAGAGGGAGAUCCCCCACACUGGUACUGAGACACGGACCAGACUCCUACGGGAGGCAGCAGUGAGGAAUAUUGGACAAUGGGCGAGAGCCUGAUCCAGCCAUGCCGCGUGCAGGGAAGACGGCCCUAUGGGUUGUAAACUGCUUUUAUACGGGAAGAAACACUCCUUCGUGAAGGAGCUUGACGGUACCGUAAGAAUAAGGAUCGGCUAACUCCGUGCCAGCAGCCGCGGU